rnacentral:lncRNA from 1 species
GAGUGUGUGUUUGGUCGUUCAAACACAGGGGGCGACACAAGGGAUCCCACAAACCCUAGUUCUUCCAAAAAUCCACCAAAUUGAGAGCUCAAAUUCGUUCUAAAUCAAGUCUCAAACACAAAUUCGUGAUCUCCACUGAAAGAGGAGUCAUAAGUUUGACUCUUGACGAGCUAGGUGAAGCUUGGAGAUGAUCAAACGGGAUAAAGGCACGAGUAAGACUUGCUUGGAUGAAAGGUGAUAAAUACAUCAAUAGAUCAUGUUCGAAUUUUGGGUUCCGUCACGAAACGAAAUGGGUCGGAACGAAUAAAAACGUUUAAAACCAUGAUUUGUAAUAAAUAUAAUUGUUUGGUCGUAUAGACCAAAUGGGUCAAAUGAUGGUGAUAACAUCAUAUAACCAUAUAUACUAAUGUUGGUUGUUAAGUCAUAUGCUUACAGGAACGAAUAGAAAUUCGGAUAAUUGCGUCAUCAUAUAAUAUUGAAUUAAUAAUAGCAAGGCAUAAACGGGUCUAUACGUUGACUCGAGUCAGGUACGCUUAUAUAUAGAUUUAUAGUUAAAAGUGCUUAACUUCCCUUCACAGGUCAAAAGGAGUAGAUAGGUGAAACGUGUUAAGAAUUCAUAAGAAACCCGUAAUUUGAACCUUGCACAUUAGUAAAUUGAUAUAACGUGAUAUGCGUGAUAUUUUGAAAAGGUAAUAAACAAGUUUGUUUGAUAAAUCACGAACGGGUCAAAAAGUGUCAUAAUUGAAUUUCAAGCCGAGAGCUUGAAAGUUAAAAUUUUGUGAAUUUAGAUGUUGGAUUUUAACUCCAUAUGAUGGAGGAUCAAAUUACAAUCACGUAGGAAGAAACGGUAGGUCAAACGGACAAGCGGACUAAAAGUUAUGAAGGUUUUCGUUUUAGAAAACGGCAAACUUGGAAAAUCCUGCAGAGGCCACCGUAAGUUACGGUAGCUACCGUAGCUUACGGUAGCCUUAAAGUCUUUACGCCACACACCCACUGUUUUACGGUAGGAGAAUCAACAUUCAGGGGCUACCGUAAAUUACGGUAGACCCUGUAACAAAAAAAAAUGUAUUUUUAUUCAGUUUUGCUUCCCGGACUCGUUUAGAUACGUUUUAAACCCCGUAUGACUAAAGCAUUUCAUGUUUAUGAAAUGUAGGUACAUUUUGGAUGCCGGAAGACGAUCAAGCUCAACGAAGAACCGAACACGAUAAAGAUACAUGCUUCCGCACAUUGCCUCGUCGUAAAUUUUAAACGACGAAUUCGAUCACGCUAUGUUGAAUAACUUAUGAUUUGUAAAAGUUUUAAUAAACCUGUAUUUUUAUAGUAUGUGUAGUCUUAACUACACAUCUAAUUGUUGGUAUUUACAUGUAAAACCGCUAUAUAGUAACUAGGGUCUUACAGGACCGUAGUUAGGAAAUAUUUUAUCAGAGUAAAAUACCACACUUUCAUAAUAUUAAUCACAUGGGAUAAAACCCAAGUU